UACGGGGGGGGCAAGCGUUGUUCGGAAUUACUGGGCGUAAAGGGCUCGUAGGUGGCCAACUAAGUCGGACGUGAAAUCCCUCGGCUUAACCGGGGAACUGCGUCCGAUACUGGUUGGCUUGAGUUUGGGAGAGGGAUGCGGAAUUCCAGGUGUAGCGGUGAAAUGCGUAGAUAUCUGGAGGAACACCGGUGGCGAAGGCGGCAUCCUGGACCAACACUGACGCUGAUGAGCGAAAGCCAGGGGAGCAAACGGG
rnacentral:rRNA from 1 species